UACUUCAUCCAGACUCCUACGGGAGCUGGACUUCAUCCUCGACUUCAACUAUAGGAAUACUUCAUCCGGACUCCUACGAGAGCCGGACUUCAUCCCCGACUCCAACUGUAGGAAUACUUCAUCCGGACUCCUACGGGAGCCGAACUUCAUCCCCAACUUCAACUGCAGGAAUACUUCAUCCGGACUCCUAUGGGAGCCGGACUUCAUCCCCUACUCCAACUGCAGGAA
rnacentral:lncRNA from 1 species